AUUGAACGCUGGCGGCAUGCUUUACACAUGCAAGUCGAACGGCAGCGCGGGCUUCGGCCUGGCUGCGAGUGGCGAACGGGUGAGUAAUGCAUCGGAACGUGCCCAGCAGUGGGGGAUAGCCCGGCGAAAGCCGGAUUAAUACCGCAUACGACCUGAGGGUGAAAGCGGGGGACCGAAAGGCCUCGCGCUAUUGGAGGGGCCGAUGUCUGAUUAGCUAGUUGGUGGGGUAAAGGCUUACCAAGGCGACGAUCCGUAGCUGGUCUGAGAGGACGACCAGCCACACUGGAACUGAGACACGGCCCAGACUCCUACGGGAGGCAGCAGUGGGGAAUUUUGGACAAUGGGGGCAACCCUGAUCCAGCCAUGCCGCGUGCGGGAAGAAGGCCUUCGGGUUGUAAACCGCUUUUGUUCGGGAAGAAAUCCUCUGGGCUAAUACCCCGGGGGGAUGACGGUACCGGAAGAAUAAGCACCGGCUAACUACGUG
rnacentral:rRNA from 1 species